CAACAUCUCGAAAGGGAUGCUAAUACCGCAUACGUCCUACGGGAGAAAGCAGGGGAUCUUCGGACCUUGCGCUAAUAGAUGAGCCUAAGUCGGAUUAGCUAGUUGGUGGGGUAAAGGCCUACCAAGGCGACGAUCUGUAGCGGGUCUGAGAGGAUGAUCCGCCACACUGGGACUGAGACACGGCCCAGACUCCUACGGGAGGCAGCAGUGGGGAAUAUUGGACAAUGGGGGGAACCCUGAUCCAGCCAUGCCGCGUGUGUGAAGAAGGCCUUAUGGUUGUAAAGCACUUUAAGCGAGGAGGAGGCUACU
rnacentral:rRNA from 1 species